rnacentral:rRNA from 1 species
ACUAGGAUUAGAUACCCUACUUAUUAAAAUUUAAAUUGAAAAUACUAAAAUAGUAGAUAAUUAUUUAUUGAAACUUAAAUAAUUUGGCGGUAUUUUAGUUCAUUUAGAGGAAUCUGUUUAAUAAUUGAUAAUCCACGAAUAAAUUUACUUAAUUUUUUAUUUUGUAUAUCGUUGUUAAAAAAAAUAUUUUUUAAUAAUAAUAAUA